CACCAACUUUCAGCAUUUUUGAUUGAGGCCAUAAACUCAUUAGGAAAAUGUUUACUGAGGUAAUUAAUCAAGUGAGAAGUAGUGC